rnacentral:lncRNA from 1 species
UUCCUCUGGUGCAUCAUAUGGUUGAUCUGUUGCAUCAUAUGAUGAAUCUGUUGCAUCAGAUAGUUAAUAUGUUGGACCAGAUGGGUAAUCUGUCGGAGGAAACAGUAGCACAAUUUUGUUAAACAAAAAAUAGCAAUUUCACCAUUUUUACCAAGUAUAAGAACAGAACAAAUCAAACCAAAUAGUCCCUUUCCUUUUAUAAAUACAAACAAUAAAAAUCAAACUUAAAAAAAAUGCAACAAACAACAAAAUAUCAUAAUUCACUUCGAAAAGAGAAGAGAAGAGAAGAAAUACCAGAAAUUAGGGUUUUAUUCAGACCGCAUUUCAAAUUAGUGCAACAAAUAUUGAAAUUGUUAACCAAUACUAUAAGAGAAGUUGGCUCAAGUUCCUCAUUUUCUUCAAAACUAAAAAGGCCAUAAAUUUUUACCUGUGAAAGAAGAAAAGAACCGAUGAAGAAUUCGAAGCUGUUGUGGCCGGAGAGCAAGACUGUCAUGUCGAUUGAAGUCGAAAAGGAACUAGAAUCCCAACUAUUUGUAGUCGGAUNNNNN